rnacentral:rRNA from 1 species
GACGAACGCUGGCGGCGUGCUUAACACAUGCAAGUCGAACGGAAAGGCCCUGCUUUUGUGGGGUGCUCGAGUGGCGAACGGGUGGGUAACACGUGAGUAACCUGCCCUUGACUUUGGGAUAACUUCAGGAAACUGGGGCUAAUACCGGAUAGGAGCUCCUGCUGCAUGGUGGGGGUUGGAAAGUUUCGGCGGUUGGGGAUGGACUCGCGGCUUAUCAGCUUGUUGGGGGGGUAGUGGCUUACCAAGGCUUUGACGGGUAGCCGGCCUGAGAGGGUGACCGGCAACAUUGGGACUGAUAUGCGGCCCAGACUCCUACGGGAGGCAGCAGUGGGGAAUAUUGCACAAUGGGCGGAAGCCUGAUGCAGCAACGCCGCGUGCGGGAUGACGGCCUUCGGGUUGUAAACCGCUUUCGCCUGUGACGAAGCGUGAGUGACGGUAAUGGGUAAAGAAGCACCGGCUAACUACGUG